rnacentral:rRNA from 1 species
UCAGCCGCCGCGGUAAUACCAGCUCUCCUAGUGGUAGGGACAAUUAUUGGGCUUAAAGCGUCCGUAGCCAGCCCCUCAAGUCUCUCGUUAAAUCCAACGAUUCAAUCGCUGGACUGCGGGAGAUACUGUAGGGCUAGGGGGCGGGAGAAGCCGACGGUAUUCUUGGGGUAGGGGUAAAAUCCUAUAAUCCCGGGAAGACCACCAGUGGCGUAGGCGGUCGGCUAGCACGCGCCCGACGGUGAGGGACGAAAGCUGGGGGAGCGAACCGGAUUAGAUACCCGGGUAGUCCCAGCCGUAAACGAUGCGGGCUAGGUGUUGGAGCGGCUACGAGCCGCUUCAGUGCCGCAGGGAAGCCAUUAAGCCCGCCGCCUGGGGAGUACGGCCGCAAGGCUGAAACUUAAAGGAAUUGGCGGGGGAGCACA